UACGAAGGGGGGCUAGCGUUGUUCGGAAUUACUGGGCGUAAAGCGCACAUAGGCGGAUAUUUAAGUCAGGGGGUGAAAUCCCAGAGCUCAACUCUGGAACUGCCUUUGAUACUGGGUAUCUCGAGUAUGGAAGAGGUGAGUGGAAUUCCGAGUGUAGAGGUGAAAUUCGUAGAUAUUCGGAGGAACACCGGUGGCGAAGGCGGCCUUCUGGACAGUGACUGACGCUGAGGCGCGAAAGCUAGGGGAGCAAACGGG
rnacentral:rRNA from 1 species